rnacentral:rRNA from 1 species
CUAUACAUGCAAGUCGAGCGGCAAGUUGAGUAGUAAUACUUAGCCUAGAGCGGCGCACUGGUGCGUAACGCGUAUGCAACCUACCUUUUACUGGGGGAUAGCCCGGAGAAAUCUGGAUUAAUACCCCAUGGUAUCUAUGAAUCGAUUGGUUUAUAGUUUAAAGAUUUAUCGGUAAGAGAUGGGCAUGCGUCUGAUUAGCUAGUUGGCGGGGUAACGGCCCACCAAGGCGACGAUCAGUAGGGGUUCUGAGAGGAAGGUCCCCCACACUGGCACUGAGAUACGGGCCAGACUCCUACGGGAGGCAGCAGUAGGGAAUAUUGGGCAAUGGUCGCAAGACUGACCCAGCCAUGCCGCGUGCAGGAAGACGGCCCUCUGGGUUGUAAACUGCUUUUAUCUGGGAAGAAAAAGUCCAUGCGUGGAAAAUUGCCGGUACCAGAUGAAUAAGCACCGGCUAACUCCGUGCCAGCAGCCGCGGUAAUACGGAGGGUGCAAGCGUUGUCCGGAUUUAUUGGGUUUAAAGGGUGCGUAGGCGGCUGAAUAAGUCAGCGGUGAAAGACUUCGGCUUAACCGGAGCAGUGCCGUUGAUACUGUUUAGCUUGAGUGUUGGAGGGGUACAUGGAAUUGAUGGUGUAGCGGUGAAAUGCAUAGAUACCAUCAGGAACACCGAUAGCGAAGGCAUUGUACUGGCCAACAACUGACGCUGAGGCACGAAAGUGUGGGGAUCGAACAGGAUUAGAUACCCUGGUAGUCCACACCGUAAACGAUGAUUACUCGCUGUUAUGGUGUAUGCUGUAGCGGCCAAGCGAAAGCGUUAAGUAAUCCACCUGGGGAGUACGCCGGCUACGGUGAAACUCAAAGGAAUUGACGGGGGUCCGCACAAGCGGUGGAGCAUGUGGUUUAAUUCGAUGA